ensembl:lncRNA
CAUUAAUCCAAGGGAUUGAGGGCAGUCGCUCACAAACUGUCAUGUUACCAACAAAUGCUUCCCAUCUUGUUUCGGGCUCUUGGUCUAUUGUUGUUGAAUGCAGACAGAAGGAACGAGAGACUCGACGCGAUGCCACGGUGACGAAAGAACAGCAUGAGUGUUUCCUGUGGCUUUGCUCGGAAUUGCGUUAUCCCAAAUUGGAAAACACUUUUAUUCAAUCAAGACGUCACAGGUUGGAUUCACUUUUUCCGUGCACAAACACACAUGACCAUCCGGCAUCAGCCAUCAGCUCCUGUGCGUUGUUGGGGGAGGUCUGAGGAGGGGCUUCCCCCCCCUUUUCCCCCCAAGCUGAGAAGCAUUGUCCCGUCGUAAUGAUGUAAUGAUGUGCUAUUGAAUAUGUGAGCUCUGGUCUGUCUGACGCCCCACAGGGACGGUUACAGCUCCUCUGUCCCCACCAAUCAUUACGAUUGGAAGACUCUGCACACGUCAGCGUCUUUAUCUGCGUUUUUUAUUUUUGUAUCCUCGUGCAGCAGAGGAGGCUGGAAGGCUCUCGGAUUUAAUUGAUAAAGGAGGAUACGUCUGCUUGCAUAAAUCGGUCGUGGUCUUGAAAAGAAAUCUGAUCACGUUAUUUGGUUCUGUUUUCUUUUUUUUCUCCAUUUUGGACACUUCUGCUCCUCGUGUCUUGGAUAUGAGCUCCUCCUAUCUGCUCCGUCUUCUGUGUGCAUGAAACAGGGAGGAUCGCUGUGUCAGAUAUUGUAUUUUGGAGAAAAAUGGACAAAUCUCCAGCAUGAGCAGUCUGAACGGGCACUCGGAGGACAACACGCUGGCAGAAGGUGUGUGUUUAUGUGUGUAUCUGUUCAGUCAACACGGUUUAUUUACAGUGUGGGACUUUGGCUGAUGUUCCUGUGGUUGGUGUGCUAAGUGAUGCUUGUGUGUGUUUGUGUCUGGGAUUUUGUACUGUUUCUUCUGCAGAAGGUAAGACUGUUUAUGUGGGUUGGGUUGUCUGUGUGUUUGUGUGUGUGUGCAGAUUCUUGUCUGCAUUUAACUUGAUGGCUUUGAAAGAUUUACUUGAUCCUCAACUAAUCCAUUUGUCAACACAAGGGGAACACCUACAUGGGCUUUUUGCCCACACACACACAACAUAUUCACUAUUUCUAAACCCAUCGAGGGAUUGCAUGUAAAUUUCUACUUGCUACACAAACCCCGUUUUGUAAGGCGCUUGACCUCAGCACAGAUGUAAAAAUUCGUUGAGCUCUGAUCAUAUCCAUGUGUGAACCUCCCAAACCUUUGAAAAGCAUCUUUGAAAACCUUUUUUUUUUUGUGGAAGCAAUUCCGUAACCCUAUCGGCUAUCGGCCCGACUGAUGAGCCUGCGGAUGUUUCUCGGGCUCCAGUGUAGCCAAUGAAUAUCCAGGACAUGACUUCCUUUUCCAACUGCCGUUGUUUACGGUCCGAAUUUGCAACUAAAGAUGCAUGACUGGAGUC